rnacentral:rRNA from 1 species
GACGAACGCUGGCGGCGUGCUUAACACAUGCAAGUCGAACGAAGAGCGAUGGAAGCUUGCUUCUAUCAAUCUUAGUGGCGAACGGGUGAGUAACGCGUAAUCAACCUGCCCUUCAGAGGGGGACAACAGUUGGAAACGACUGCUAAUACCGCAUACGAUCUAAUCUCGGCAUCGAGGAUAGAUGAAAGGUGGCCUCUACAUGUAAGCUAUCACUGAAGGAGGGGAUUGCGUCUGAUUAGCUAGUUGGAGGGGUAACGGCCCACCAAGGCGAUGAUCAGUAGCCGGUCUGAGAGGAUGAACGGCCACAGUGGGACUGAGACACGGCCCAGACGCCUACGGGAGGCAGCAGUGGGGAAUCUUCCGCAAGGGACGAAAGUCUGACGGAGCAACGCCGCGGGAGUGAUGACGGCCUUCGGGUUGUAAAGCCCUGUUAAUCGGGACGAAAGGCCUUCUUGCGAAUAGUGAGAAGGAUUGACGGUACCGGAAUAGAAAGCCACGGCUAACUACGUG